AUGGGCCAAAAAUUCCAUUUACUGCAAAUCACAAAAGUAACUUUGGUUCAUAAUAAAGACAAAAUCAAAAGAGACAAAGUUAUAGCAUUCAGCAAAAGUCAGAAUCGCAACUGUCCAGCCCAAGCAACAAAGUAUCACAGUUACAAAGUAGCUGAAUUGCAAUUUCUAGCCCAAAGCAAUAUAUCAGAAAAUUAUGACAAAGUCAUAAAUGAAAACAAGUCUGAAGCAAGUCAGAAAUUUAACAUAUCAGAUUAUCAAGCCCAACAAACAGAUUCACACAUCUCAGUAAAAACAAAAAAGUGA